CCGAUUAUCUAACCUUUUGGAAGAAGUCGUCGAAGGUGGAAUCAAUAACUGGGGUGAAGUCGUAACAAGGUAGCCGUAUCGGAAGGUGCGGCUGGAUCACCUCCUUU
rnacentral:rRNA from 1 species